rnacentral:rRNA from 1 species
AUACGGAGGGUGCAAGCGUUAUUCGGAAUCACUGGGCGUAAAGGACGCGUAGGCGGGUUGGCAAGUCAGAUGUGAAAUCCUACAGCUUAACUGUAGAACUGCAUUUGAAACUGCUAACCUAGAGUAUGGGAGGGGGAGAUGGAAUUAGUGGUGUAGGGGUAAAAUCCGUAGAUAUCACUAGGAAUACCGAAAGCGAAGGCGAUCUCCUGGAACAUAACUGACGCUAAGGCGUGAAAGCGUGGGAGCAAACAGGAUUAGAAACCCUAGUAGUCC